rnacentral:rRNA from 1 species
CAAUCGAACCCGGAGAUAGCUGGUUCUCCUCGAAAUAGCUUUAGGGCUAGCCUCGCAUUAGUUUACCGGAGGUAGAGCACUGAAUGGUCUAGGGGGCCUCACCGCCUACCGAAACCUAUCAAACUGCGAAUGCCGGAUAAAUGAUGUGCGGGAGUCAGGCCGCGAGAGAUAAGUUCCGCGGUCAAAAGGGGAACACCCCAGAUCGUCUGCUAAGGUCCCUAAGUACGCGUUAAGUGGGAAAGGAUGUUGGAUUGCACAGACAACCAGGAUGUUGGCUUAGAAGCAGCCACACAUUCAAAGAGUGCGUAAUAGCUCACUGGUCGAGUGAUCCAGCGCCGAAAAUGUAACGGGGCUAAAACGCGACACCGAAGCAGCGGGAUGCGUAAGCAUCGGUAGAGGAGCAUUGUGUGAGGGUUGAAGCCAGAGCGGGAGCACUGGUGGACUUCACAGAAGAGAGAAUGCCGGUAUGAGUAGCGAGACCCAUGCGAGAAACAUGGGCGUCGAAGGCCCAAGGUUUCCUGGGGAAGGUUCAUCCACCCAGGGUAAGUCGGGACCUAAGCCGAGGACUGAGGUCGUAGGCGAUGGACAGCAGGUAGAGAUUCCUGCACCACUUACACUUGUUUGACGAAGCAGUGACACAGAAGGAUAGGACGAGCGCGGUGAUGGUCAACCGCGUAGGCGGCACGAGGCCGGGAAGCAGUGAAGUACACUUCCCGCAAAGGCUGAGUGUUGACAGGACCGAAAAGAAGUAGGGAAGCGUCCGAGUUCACGCUGGCGAGAAAAGCUGCUAAGGAGAGUGUGAGUGCCCGUACCGGAAACCGACGCAGGUGGGCGAGGAGAGAAUCCUGAGACGGACGGGAGAACUCUUGUUAAGGAACUCGGCAAAAUGACCCCGUAACUUCGGGAGAAGGGGUGCCUCGAAAGAGGCCGCAGAGAAUAGUCACAAGCGACUGUUUAGCAAAAACACAGGUAUCUGCGAAAGCGAGAGCUGACGUAUAGGUGCUGACGCCUGCCCGGUGCUGGAAGGUUAAGGGGAAGUGUUAGGGGAAACCCGAAGCAGAGAACCGAAGCCCCAGUAAACGGCGGCCGUAACUAUAACGGUCCUAAGGUAGCGAAAUUCCUUGUCGGGUAAGUUCCGACCCGCACGAAUGGCGUAACGACUUGUGAGCUGUCUCAACAGGAGGCCCGGUGAAAUUGAAGUAUGUGUGAAGAUGCACAUUACCCGCGACUGGACGGAAAGACCCCGUAGAGCUUUACUGUAACCUGACAUUGGAUCUUGAUAACGGAUGCACAGGAUAGGUGGGACGCUGGGAGACGAGGACUUUGGUUUUCGUGGAGCGGCCGUUGGGAUACCACUCUUCUGUUAUUGAGAUUCUAACCUCAAGCCGUGAGCCGGAUGAGAGACAGUGUCAGGCGGACAGUUUGACUGGGGCGGUCGCCUCCGAAAGAGUAACGGAGGCGCCCAAAGGUACCCUCAGAAUGGAUGGAAACCAUUCGAAGAGAGCAAAGUCAGAAGGGUGCUUGACUGCGAGACCAACAAGUCGAGCAGGUACGAAAGUAGGGCUUAGUGAUCCGGCGGUAAGAGAGUGGAAUUGCCGUCGCUCAACGGAUAAAAGCUACCUCGGGGAUAACAGGCUGAUCUCCCCCAAGAGUUCACAUCGACGGGGAGGUUUGGCACCUCGAUGUCGGCUCGUCGCAUCCUGGGGCUGAAGCAGGUCCCAAGGGUUUGGCUGUUCGCCAAUUAAAGCGGCACGCGAGCUGGGUUCAGAACGUCGUGAGACAGUUCGGUCCCUAUCCAUCGUGGGCGAAGGACACAUGAGAGGAGCUGCUCCUAGUACGAGAGGACCGGAGUGGACGCAUCACUGGUGCAACUGUUGUCGUGCCAACGGCACAGCAGGGAAGCGAAAUGCGGACGGGAUAAACGCUGAAGGCAUCUAAGCGUGAAGCCCACCUCAAGAAUAAGUGUCCCAUUCGAAAGAAGUAAGACCCCUGGAAGACUACCAGGUGAUAGGUCAUCGGUGAAAGAGUGGUAACAUUUGGAGCUUGAUGAUACUAAUCGGUCGAGGACUUGAUCUA